rnacentral:rRNA from 1 species
GACGAACGCUGGCGGCGUGCUUAACACAUGCAAGUCGAGCGAUGAAUUUUCUUCGGAAAUGGAUUAGCGGCGAACGGGUGAGGAACACGUGAAGAAUCUGCCCUCCACUUUGGGAUAACACAGGGAAACCUGUGCUAAUACCGAAUAUUGAAACAUAAGUGGCAUCACUGAGUUUUGAAAGAAUUUCGGUGAGGAUGACUUCGCGGCCUAUCAGCUAGUUGGUGAGGUAAUGGCUCACCAAGGCAACGACGGGUAGCCGGCCUGAGAGGGCGACCGGCCACACUGGGACUGAGACACGGCCCAGACUCCUACGGGAGGCAGCAGUGGGGAAUAUUGGGCAAUGGAGGAAACUCUGACCCAGCGACGCCGCGUGCGGGAUGAAGGCCUUCGGGUUGUAAACCGCUUUCAGUAGGGAAGAAGCGAAAGUGACGGUACCUACAAAAGAAGCACCGGCUAACUAUGUGCCAGCCGCCGCGGUAA